GACGAACUGUCCUAACGUUGUUCGGAAUCACUGGGCUUAAAGGGCGCGUAGGCGGUCCGACAAGUCGGGGGUGAAAUCCUGUAGCUUAACUGCAGAAGUGCCUUCGAUACUGUCGGUCUUGAGGGAGAUAGGGGUGUGCGGAACUUCCAGUGGAGCGGUGAAAUGCGUUGAUAUUGGAAGGAACGUCGGAGGCGAAAGCGGCGCACUGGAUCUCUACUGACGCUGAGGCGCGAAAGCCAGGGGAGCAAACGGG
rnacentral:rRNA from 1 species